rnacentral:misc_RNA from 1 species
GAUGAAGAACGCAGCGAAAUGCGAUAAGUAAUGUGAAUUGCAGAAUUCAGUGAAUCAUCGAAUCUUUGAACGCACAUUGCGCCCGCCAGUAUUCUGGCGGGCAUGCCUGUUCGAGCGUCAUUUCAACCAUCAAGCCCCAGGCUUGUGUUGGGGACCUGCGGCUGCCGCAGGCCCUGAAAACCAGUGGCGGGCUCGCUGUCACACCGGGCGUAGUAGAUUUUAUCUCGCUCAGGGCGUGCUGCGGGUCCCGGCCGUUAAACCACCUUCAUAACCCAAGGUUGACCUCGGAUCAGGUAGGAAGACCCGCUGAACUUAAGCAUAUCAAUAAGCGGAGGA